AUUGAACGCUGGCGGUAUGCUUAACUCAUGCAAGUCGAACGGUAACAGGUCUUCGGAUGCUGACGAGUGGCGGACGGGUGAGUAACGCGUAGGAAUCUGCCUCGUAGUGGGGGACAACUCGGAGAAAUCCGAGCUAAUACCGCAUACGCCCUAAGGGGGAAAGGAGGGGACUCGUUAGAGCCUUUCGCUAUGAGAUGAGCCUGCGUUAGAUUAGCUAGUUGGUGGGGUAAAAGCCUACCAAGGCGACGAUCUAUAGCUGUUCUGAGAGGAAGAUCAGCCACACUGGGACUGAGACACGGCCCAGACUCCUACGGGAGGCAGCAGUGGGGAAUAUUGGACAAUGGGCGCAAGCCUGAUCCAGCAAUACCGCGUGUGUGAAGAAGGCCCCUAGGGUUGUAAAGCACUUUCAAUUGGGAGGAAAAAAUAAGCGUUAAUACCGCUUAUCUUGACAUUACCUUUAGAAGAAGCACCGGCUAACUCCGUGCCAGCAGCC
rnacentral:rRNA from 1 species